rnacentral:misc_RNA from 1 species
GAUGAAGAACGCAGCGAAAUGCGAUACUUGGUGUGAAUUGCAGAAUCCCGUGAACCAUCGAGUCUUUGAACGCAAGUUGCGCCCGAAGCCACUAGGCCGAGGGCACGCCUGCCUGGGCGUCACACGUCGUUGCCCCCCCAUCUACUCCUUCGGGAUUGCGGGGGGGCGGAUGAUGGCCUCCCGUGCGCCUAGCCGCGCGGUUGGCAUAAAUACCAAGUCCUCGGCGACGCACGCCACGACAAUCGGUGGUUGCGAAACCUCGGUUGCCCGUCGUGUGCGUUCGUCGCGCAUCGAGGGCUCGAAAAAAUGCUCGGCUUCGGCUCGGCUUUCAACGCGACCCCAGGUCAGGCGGGUUUACCCGCUGAAUUUAAGCAUAUCAAUAAGCGGAGGA